rnacentral:misc_RNA from 1 species
GAUGAAGAACGUAGCGAAAUGCGAUAAGUAAUGUGAAUUGCAGAAUUCCGUGAAUCAUCGAAUCUUUGAACGCACAUUGCGCCCUCUGGUAUUCCGGGGGGCAUGCCUGUCCGAGCGUCAUUUGCAACCCUCAAGCCCGGCUUGUGUGAUGGGUGCCGUCCCCUACGGGACGCGCCCCGAAGGCAAUGGCGGCGUCGCGGUUAUCCGAUCAGCCAAAGUGUAUGGGGCUUUGUCACUCACUUUACGGCCCGGACCGGCGCCAGUCCGAAUCAAUCUUUUUUCUAAAGUUGACCUCGGAUCAGGUAGGGAUACCCGCUGAACUUAAGCAUAUCAAUAAGUGGAGGA